rnacentral:lncRNA from 12 species
ACAUAAACAGCUUCCUCCGAAGCCUGGUAAAUGGCUUGAUGAUUGGUCGCUAUUACUCGCCCUGAGGUGGAAGGGGGGAGACUCUUUAAAGUGCGUCAGAGGGAGGCGAGCGCCUGGGAACCCGGAGGCCUGGAUCCCGGCCGAGAGUGGAACGGAGUCGGCGCCGCGGCCUCGGCCGAGCUCCCGCGCCCGCCAGGCCGCCCGCUCGCCGCGCCUUCGCCCCGCGCUCCUGGCCCCGCGCUCCGCGGCGCCCGCUGCGGCUUCGCCUCCUCCUCUUUCGCCUCCUCCUCUUCCUCCGGCCUCCUCUCCUCCUUCUCCUCCUCCUCCUCCUCCUCUUCCUCCUUCUCCUCCUCCUCCUCUCCUUCCUCCUCCUCUUUCCCCACCUCCUCCCCCUCUGCCACCGCCUCCUCCUUCGCCACCACCACUCCCUCCGGGGCACCCCGGUCCCUGCAGAGUCCCCGGCCCGCGCCGCCUCUGCCGCGGCCCCCUGGAUCCCGAGCCGGUGGGACGCACGGACGCACGGACGGACCCGCGGGUCCCUGCGCCCAGCUCUCGGCCGCCGCCCCCCGCGGCCCCGCGUCGGGGAAGCGGGGCUCGCCCCCGGAGCCCCGCGAGGUGGUUGCAGUCUCCAGGCCUGGCUGCAUGGCGAGGCGUCUGAACACGCAGGGGAUGCCAAGCCUUCCAGAUGAAGAGUGGAUCACAGUGCCAACCAUGUGGACGUGGAUCUCCCCCAGAUGGGCUUCAGCACAUCUGGCCCAUCUGUAGCAUUUUCUCCAUCCAGGUGAUCCAUCUUGCCUCUGCCCAGCGUGGUGGAAAACUUGAUUCUCAUUGUGUAAGCAUGAGAGUUCCAUAUUUCUGCCCCUUGCUCUGAGCCCUGCUGACUGAUUCAAGGGGCAGCUGCUCAGGUGUGCUGGGAACAAGAUAGGGUCUAUUUCAUUGCUCAUUUGCUGCGGGGGCAUCUUGCAUGAGAAAGUCCACUUCUAUCACUGAUGGCACCUGUAUAGAUGCUGUGCUACGCAUCCAUUACAAGGUUCUAUCUUAUCCAGUCUUCUCAGAAAUUCAUGGAAAUAUCAGUCUAUUCCCACUCUCCAGAUGUGAAAACUGAGACUUCAAAAGAAAGGGAUUCACCCCCAAGAUCACACACACACACACACACACACACACACACACACACAGUUAGUUAGUAAAUGAAGUUAGUAAAUGAAGGGGUUUGGAUUCUAACCCAGGGCUGUGUGAUUCCAACAACUUGUCCUCCUCCCCCUAGCCCCUGCAUCCUAA